rnacentral:rRNA from 1 species
GAUGAACGCUGGCGGCGUGCUUAACACAUGCAAGUCGAACGGUGAAGCCCAGCUUGCUGGGUGGAUCAGUGGCGAACGGGUGAGUAACACGUGAGCAACCUGCCCUGGACUCUGGGAUAAGCGCUGGAAACGGCGUCUAAUACUGGAUAUGAGACGUGGCCGCAUGGUCAACGUUUGGAAAGAUUUUUCGGUCUGGGAUGGGCUCGCGGCCUAUCAGCUUGUUGGUGAGGUAAUGGCUCACCAAGGCGUCGACGGGUAGCCGGCCUGAGAGGGUGACCGGCCACACUGGGACUGAGACACGGCCCAGACUCCUACGGGAGGCAGCAGUGGGGAAUAUUGCACAAUGGGCGGAAGCCUGAUGCAGCAACGCCGCGUGAGGGAUGACGGCCUUCGGGUUGUAAACCUCUUUUAGCAAGGAAGAAGCUUUUGUGACGGUACUUGCAGAAAAAGCGCCGGCUAACUACGUGCCAGCAGCCGCCGCAGUAA